GUGCUCAGUGUACCAGUACAUACAAUAAAAUAAAAAUGAAACAGAGAUUACCAUGGCCCCUGCAUAAGACUGACACACAAAUUCAUGAAGAUUUAAAAAAAUAA
rfam:Erinaceus europaeus unplaced genomic scaffold scaffold00030, whole genome shotgun sequence